rnacentral:lncRNA from 1 species
UCUCUCUCUCUCUCUCUCUCUCUCUCUCUCUCUCUCUCUCUCUCACUCUCCCCUUCUCCCCCUCACUCUCUCUUCCCCUCCUCUCCUCUCCACUCUAUAUUUCCCCCUCUUUCCCUCCCCUUACCUCUUCCUCUUUUCCUCCCACUCUCCCUCUCUUUUGAUCUCCCUCUCCCCCACCUCCUCCUGGACUCCUCUUCUCUCUCCUCUAUCUCUUCUCUCCCUCUCCUAUCUCCCCCUCCCUCUCACCUUCCCCAGUAUCUCCUCCUGUCUCUUUCUCUCUGACAUAGGAGACAGUAGCCAACUUCAACUGAAGAAGAGAGCCCUUGAUCCAGACAGGGACAUUGAACAUGGAUUUAAUGAAGACAUAUUCUU